UACACUUCCUUCAAUUCUGACCAUAUUUGUUCUUGUGCCCCUGAAAUGCUCCCAAUUUUUUUCUUUUCUUCAUUGAAGGGAGACAUUUUUUGUGGAAGACAAUUUAUUUAGAACUUAAAUACUUCUGAACUAAAGCAAAAAGAUGCAUCUACUACAGAGGCUCUAUCAAAGCUACCAAUUCAUGUUAGGGAACUAUGAUCAAAGAAUGUUCAAAUUUUAAAGGCAUGGUACAGUUAAUAAAAUUGCUGAAAUAGGCAUGUGUCAGUACUUUGACAAAGUUCCUCAGCUCCUACAUAUUCUCAAUUAAUGAUUGACGAGUUUAGGGGGAGGUGGAUCUCAUAUAUAUAUGACCGGAUGCCAGCACCAAAUGAUGAAGACGAUGGCCAUCUGUGUGAACUGUAGCUCAAUGAUAUCAAUACCUAAUUUUGUAUUUCUUUUAAUCAACAUUAGAGAGGUGUUUUGAUUUUAUUUCUCGUAUAUGUAUAGAACGUAUUUUGAACGGAUGAAUAGAUUGUUUGAAUUGUACAUAUAUAUGACAGUAGAAAGGUUUUUUAUGCAGGAAAUGGAUGCAGAUUUUUUUUA